UCAGGCCUAACACAUGCAAGUCGAGCGGAAACGAGUUAUCUGAACCUUCGGGGGACGAUAACGGCGUCGAGCGGCGGACGGGUGAGUAAUGCCUAGGAAAUUGCCCUGAUGUGGGGGAUAACCAUUGGAAACGAUGGCUAAUACCGCAUAAUGCCUACGGGCCGAAGAGGGGGACCUUCGGGCCUCUCGCGUCAGGAUAUGCCUAGGUGGGAUUAGCUAGUUGGUGAGGUAAGGGCUCACCAAGGCGACGAUCCCUAGCUGGUCCGAGAGGAUGAUCAGCCACACUGGAACUGAGACACGGUCCAGACUCCUACGGGAGGCAGCAGUGGGGAAUAUUGCACAAUGGGCGCAAGCCUGAUGCAGCCAUGCCGCGUGUGUGAAGAAGGCCUUCGGGUUGUAAAGCACUUUCAGUCGUGAGGAAGGUGGUGUAGUUAAUAGCUGCAUUAUUUGACGUUAGCGACAGGAGAUGCACCGGCUAACUCCGUGCCAGCAGCCGCGGUAAUACGGAGGGUGCGAGCGUUAAUCGGAAUUACUGGGCGUAAAGCGCAUGCAGGUGGUUUGUUAAGUCAGAUGUGAAAGCCCGGGGCUCAACCUCGGAAUAGCAUUUGAAACUGGCAGACUAGAGUACUGUAGAGGGGGGUAGAAUUUCA
rnacentral:rRNA from 1 species